rnacentral:rRNA from 1 species
GCCAGACUCCUACGGGAGGCAGCAGUAGGGAAUCUUUCACAAUGGGCGAAAGCCUGAUGGAGCAACGCCGCGUGCAGGAUGAAGGCCUUCGGGUUGUAAACUGCUUUUAUAAGCGAGAAAUAUGAUGGUAACUUAUGAAUAAGGAUCGGCUAACUACGUGCCAGCAGCCGCGGUCAUACGUAGGAUCCGAGCAUUAUCCGGAGUGACUGGGUGUAAAGAGUUGCGUAGGUGGCAUAAUAAGUAGCUAGUGAAAUCCGGUGGCCCAACCAUUCAGACUAUUAGCUAAACUGUUAGGCUCGAGACCGUUAGGGGUAACUGGAAUUUCCAGUGUAGGAGUGAAAGCCGUAGAUAUUAGAAGGAACACCAAUAGCGUAGGCAGGUUGCUGGGACGGUUCUGACACUAAGGCACGAAAGCGUAGGGAGCAAACGGGAUUAGAUACCCCAGUA